CUCCCAGUUCCACUGUUUAAGAGCUGGGAAGACGGUUCUCUCCACCACCUCUCCAGACUCCAGCCCUCCUGCACUGUGUGUGACUGUGUGUGACUGUGUGUGACCGUGAGUGACCGUGUGUGACCGUGAGUGACCAUGUGUGACCAUGUGUGACCGUGUGUGACCGUGUGUGGUGCUGCCAUUUUAACGUUGUGAUGAGAGUUAACACUCAGUUUGUGAGAGUGGUCCUGAGUUGGUUAACACUGUGGAAGCUUUCCCUCAUUUAAAAACACCAAAGAACAAUAGGAUAAAAUAAAAGACUGGUACAAGGUCCGGCCCCAUCUCUUCUGCUCCAAUCAGAGACUGGUACAAGGCACAGCCCCAUCUCUUCUGCUCCAAUCAGAGACUGGUACAAGGCACAGCCCCUUCUCUUCUGCUCCAAUCAGAGACUGGUACAAGGUACCGCCCCAUCUCUUCUGCGCCAAUCAGAGACUGGUACAAGGCACAGCGCCAACUCUUCUGCUCCAAUCAGAGACUGGUAUAAGGCACAGCCCCAUCUCUUCUGCUCCAAUCAGAAACUGGUACAAGGCACAGCCCCAUCUCUUCUGCUCCAAUCAGAGACUGGUACAAGGCACAGCUCCAUCUCUUCUGCUCCAGUCAGAGACUGAUACAAGGCACAGCCCCAUCUCUUCUGCUCCAAUCAGAAACUGGUACAAGGCACAGCCCCAUCUCUUCUGCUCCAAUCAGAAACUGGUGACCACUCUGAGCUCUCGGCCUCCAUUGAUCCGUCA
rnacentral:lncRNA from 1 species